ACUCAAAUGAAUUGACGGGGACCCGCACAACCAGUGGAGCAUGUGGUUUAAUUCGAGACGAACCGAAGAACCUUACCUAGGUUUGACAUGCUAGAUGCAAUCUUCUAGAAAUAGAGGACUCUUUCGAAGGUUCUAGCACAGGUGUUGCAUGGCUAUCGUCAGCUCGUGUCGUGAGGUGUUCCCUUCAGUGGGGUAACGAGCGCAACCCGCGUCGUAUGUUAAAUUGUUCAUACGAGACUGCUCGCCUAUGGCGAGAGGAAGGCGCGGAUGAUGUUAAGUCAGCAUGGCCUUUAUAUCUAGGGCGACACACAUGCUACAAUGAGGCCGACAAUGGGUUGCCAACCGGUAACGGGGAGCUAAUCCCAUCAAACGGCCUCUCAGUGGGGAUUGGGGGCUGCAACUCGCCCCCAUGAACGCGGAAUUGGUAGUAAUCGCAAAUCAGCUAUGUUGCGGUGAAUACGUUCUCGGGUCUUGUACACACCGCCCGU
rnacentral:rRNA from 1 species